UAUAGAUCGUUUCGUUACUAAAAGGUUUCAAAGAUAGUGUGUUAACUUAUACUGGAGAAAAGAACAGACAGAAAAAUCACGAGGCUGUGUUAAGAAAGAAAGUUAUCUUCACUAUCCAUUUAAUUUGCCACGAAACGCAGUUUACUACUUACGGGAAUUCGGUGUCUGAGCUUCUAGAACCGGCGAACAAAACAGAACCACGUGCAUCAGCAAGAAAAACAACGCCAUUCUCCUGUAAAUCAUACGAGUUAACAUGAAACACGAUAAAGAUGUUUUUGCGACAAGAUUUUGCUGUGGUGUAGACAAGGGAAGUGGCUACAACUGAUAGUUUUGGCGCACUACUGCAUAUAGCCGAAACACAAAGAAGACUGGGGGCUAAAAGUCAAACUCAUUUUGUCCGAAGCCACAACUCUAUUGAGAACUCCCCUUUGCCCUUUCUUCCCAUCGUACUUCUCGCCUCUACAUCUUGCCGUUAACGUCAUCACUUGUACAUAUGCCAGCCCUAAACUUUUCUACACGUGCGUCAAAGUGCAUGCUCUACCUACGAAAUAUUCCAUUUAAUGAAGAAAUCCAGAAA